rnacentral:rRNA from 1 species
UACGUAGGGUGCGAGCGUUAAUCGGAAUUGCUGGGCGUAAAGCGUGCGCAGGCGGUUUUGUAAGCCAGAUGUGAAAUCCCCGGGCUUAACCUGGGAAUGGCAUUUGGGACUGCAAGGCUUGAGUGCGGCAGAGGAGACUGGAAUUCCUGGUGUAGCAGUGAAAUGCGUAGAUAUCAGGAGGAACACCGAUGGCGAAGGCAGGUCUCUGGGCUGACACUGACGCUCAUGCACGAAAGCGUGGGGAGCAAACAGG